rnacentral:tRNA from 1 species
GGUGAAGUUUGCGGAGCGGUCUCCGUCCUGGUCUUCAAAACCAGAGAGGUCUUGUUAAAAGCGCCUAUCGUUCGACUCGGUACUUCACCGCCA